CUGGCUCAGAACGAACACUGGCGGCGUGGAUUAUGCAUGCAAGUCGAGCGGGAUCACAUUUUCAAUUCUUCGGAAGAGAAGUUUGUGAUGAGAGCGGCGAACGGGUGAGUAAUGUAUGGGUAAUUUGCCUUGAAGCUCGGGAUAGCCAUCCGAAAGGGUGGAUAAUACCGAAUGUGCUCGGGUACCGCAUGGUACCUUGUGUAAAGGUGGGGAUCUUCGGACCUGCCACUUCAAGAUAGGCCCAUAUCCUAUCAGCUUGUUGGUAAGGUAAUGGCUUACCAAGGCUUACGGGUAGCCGACCUGAGAGGGUGACCGGCCACACUGGGACUGAGACACUGCCCAGACUCCUACGGGAGGCUGCAGUCGAGAAUCAUUGUCAAUGCACGAAAGUGUGAACAUGCGACGCCGCGUGGAGGACGACGGCCUUCGGGUUGUAAACUCCUGUCCUGAGGGAGUAAGUGCAGAUUGGUUAAUACCCCGUCUGUUUGAUAGUACCUCAGAAGAAAGUCACGGCUAACUCUGUGCCAGCAGCCGCGGUAAUACAGAGGUGGCGAGUGUUGUUCGGAUUUACUGGGCGUAAAGGGUCCGCAGGCGGUCCUGUGUGUCGGAUGUGAAAGCUCACGGCUCAACCGUGGAAUUGCAUCCGAAACUACAGGACUAGAGUACAGGAGGGGAGAAGGGAAUUCAUGGUGUAGCGGUGAAAUGCGUAGAUAUCAUGAAGAACACCGGUGGCGAAGGCGCUUCUCUGGACUGAUACUGACGCUCAUGGACGAAAGCCGGGGUAGCGAAGAGGAUUAGAUACCCUCGUAGUCCCGGCCGUAAACGGUGUGCACUUGAUGUUGGAGGUUUACCCCCUUCAGUGUCGGAGCUAACGUGUUAAGUGCACCGACUGGGAAGUACGGCCGCAAGGUUAAAACUCAAAGGAAUUGACGGGGCCCGCACAAGCCGGGUGGAAGCAUGUGGCUUAAUU
rnacentral:rRNA from 1 species